CGAAGGGGGCUAGCGUUGCUCGGAAUUACUGGGCGUAAAGGGCGCGUAGGCGGACAGUUUAGUCAGAGGUAAAAGCCCAGGGCUCAACCUUGGAACUGCCUUUGAUACUGACUGUCUUGAGUUCGGGAGAGGUGAGUGGAAUGCCGAGUGUAGAGGUGAAAUUCGUAGAUAUUCGGCGGAACACCAGUGGCGAAGGCGACUCACUGGCCCGAUACUGACGCUGAGGCGCGAAAGCGUGGGGAGCAAACAGGAUUAGAUACCCUGGUAGUCCACGCUGUAAACGAUGAGUGCUAGUUGUCGGCAUGCAUGCAUGUCGGUGACGCAGCUAACGCAUUAAGCACUCCGCCUGGGGAGUACGGUCGCAAGAUUA
rnacentral:rRNA from 1 species